rnacentral:rRNA from 1 species
CCUACGGGAGGCAGCAGUGAGGAAUAUUGGUCAAUGGACGCAAGUCUGAACCAGCCAUGCCGCGUGCAGGAAGACGGCUCUAUGAGUUGUAAACUGCUUUUGUACGAGGGUAAACGCUGAUACGUGUAUCUGUCUGAAAGUACCGUACGAAUAAGGAUCGGCUAACUCCGUGCCAGCAGCCGCGGUAAUACGGAGGAUGCAAGCGUUAUCCGGAUUUAUUGGGUUUAAAGGGUGCGUAGGCGGUCGGAUACAUUAGAGGUGAAAUUCCGAGGCUCAACUUCGGAAUUGCCUCUGAUACUGUUCGGCUAGAGAGUAGGUGCGGUAGGCGGAAUGUAUGGUGUAGCGGUGAAAUGCUUAGAGAUCAUACAGAACACCGAUUGCGAAGGCAGCUUACCAAGCUACUUCUGACGUUGAGGCACGAAAGCGUGGGGAGCAAACAGGAUUAGAUACCCGAGUAGUC